rnacentral:rRNA from 1 species
CCUACGGGAGGCAGCAGUGAGGAAUAUUGGUCAAUGGACGAGAGUCUGAACCAGCCAAGUAGCGUGAAGGAUGACUGCCCUAUGGGUUGUAAACUUCUUUUAUAAGGGAAUAAAACGCAGUACGUGUGCCGUUUUGCAUGUACUUUAUGAAUAAGGAUCGGCUAACUCCGUGCCAGCAGCCGCGGUAAUACGGAGGAUCCGAGCGUUAUCCGGAUUUAUUGGGUUUAAAGGGAGCGUAGAUGGGUUGUUAAGUCAGUUGUGAAAGUUUGCGGCUCAACCGUAAAAUUGCAAUUGAUACUGGCAGUCUUGAGUACAGCUGAGGUAAGCGGAAUUCGUGGUGUAGCGGUGAAAUGCUUAGAUAUCACGAAGAACCCCGAUUGCGAAGGCAGCUUACUAAACUGUGACUGACAUUGAUGCUCGAAAGUGUGGGUAUCAAACAGGAUUAGAUACCCUUGUAGUC